CAGAGAUGCUUGUGGUUUUGCGGUAGCUUGCUUGUCCAGAACUGCAGUUCUCUGCUCUUCCUGAAUAAACCCAGUUUGCUGGUAAAAUAACUGACAGCUUUAUUUUUAAGAAGAGGAAAUCGGAAGGACCUGCUCUAGCCGGCCUGGAAGAAAGCAAACAUCUGUGUGCAACUGCCUGUGGGGGCCAUUUGGCAAGUUACUGCUGGUGGCAUCUAGUAGCUGAGAGCAGUCUCCAUUGGACAGCUAGCAAGAAAACGAGGUCCACAGUUGAACAAUGGCUAAGAACCUGAAUGAGAAGUUGAGACUCAAAGAGAAGAAAAUGGAGCUGAACCGGAUUUGCUUGUCCUGAUGCCCCUCUAAACGGGGGCUCCUGUGUUGGCGGGAUUCAAGUAUCUUCAGGGGACUGCCUCUAUCAGAUGCAUCUGGAUGCCAUAAAAAUGCAUAUGCCUUGCGAUUCUGAGCCAGCAAGGUUGGCAGUGGGUUGUGAGAAUCUGCGUUUUACCAAGUAUUCCUAGCUGAUCCUCAUUUACACACAAGGGAGCCCAUUAGAGC